rnacentral:rRNA from 1 species
GACGAACGCUGGCGGCGCGCUUAACACAUGCAAGUCGAACGAUGAAGCUGGAGCUUGCUCUAGCGGAUUAGUGGCGAACGGGUGAGUAACACGUGAGCAAUCUGCCCUUGACUCUGGGAUAACUGCGGGAAACUGUAGCUAAUACCGGAUACGAGACUUAGGGGCAUCUCUGAGUCUGGAAAGAAUUUCGGUCAAGGAUGAGCUCGCGGCCUAUCAGCUAGUUGGUGAGGUAAUGGCUCACCAAGGCGACGACGGGUAGCCGGCCUGAGAGGGUGACCGGCCACACUGGGACUGAGACACGGCCCAGACUCCUACGGGAGGCAGCAGUGGGGAAUAUUGCACAAUGGGCGAAAGCCUGAUGCAGCAACGCCGCGUGAGGGAUGAAGGCCUUCGGGUUGUAAACCUCUUUUAGCAGGGAAGAAGCGAAAGUGACGGUACCUGCAGAAAAAGCACCGGCUAACUACGUGCCAGCCGCCGCAGUAA